rnacentral:rRNA from 1 species
CUUAAUUUGACUCAACGCGGGAAAUCUCACCAGGCCCGGACACUGGAAGGAUUGACAGAUUGAGAGCUCUUUCUUGAUUCUAUGGGUGGUGGUGCAUGGCCGCUCUUAGUUGGUGGAGUGAUCUGUCUGGUUAAUUCCGUUAACGAACGAGACCUUAACCUGCUAAAUAGUGACACGGUUCUUUGAACCGUGGCUCACUUCUUAGAGGGACUAUCGGUUUCAAACCGAUGGAAGUUUGAGGCAAUAA